UACGAAGGGUGCUAGCGUUGUUCGGAAUUACUGGGCGUAAAGCGCGCGUAGGCGGCUUAUCAAGUCAGGGGUGAAAUCCUUGGGCUCAACCCAAGAAUUGCCUUUGAAACUGUUAAGCUUGAGUACUGGAGGGGAUAGCGGAAUUCCUAAUGUAGAGGUGAAAUUCGUAGAUAUUAGGAGGAACACCGGUGGCGAAGGCGGCUAUCUGGACAGUAACUGACGCUGAGGCGCGAAAGCGUGGGGAGCAAACAGG
rnacentral:rRNA from 1 species